UACGUAGGGGGCGAGCGUUGUCCGGAUUUAUUGGGCGUAAAGAGCGUGUAGGCGGCCAGGUAGGUCUGCUGUGAAAACUCGAGGCUCAACCUCGAGACGUCGGCGGAAACCAUCUGGCUAGAGUCCGGAAGAGGAGAGUGGAAUUCCUGGUGUAGCGGUGAAAUGCGCAGAUAUCAGGAAGAACACCCGUGGCGAAGGCGGCUCUCUGGGACGGUACUGACGCUGAGACGCGAAAGCAUGGGGAGCAAACAGG
rnacentral:rRNA from 1 species